AGACAACCCCAAUCCAGUAAAGUCUCCUAAGGUAAAGGGACCUACAGCAGACUCCCUAUACUUCACUGUCCACAUAUAGGAAGGAUUCUAUGGUACUCAGUGUCUCAUACAAUCACAGGUACUUUGGAAGCUAACCACUCUCUCUUGCUGGCCAUCCAAGGUAACACUCUUAAAAGGGAAAGAUAUUGCCAUUCUUUAUAUCUUUGACCUGAAUCUACUGUGUGCAUUGUUCCUGGGGAGGGGGAGAGUGAGGCAUAUUGGGCCAAAAUUCAGAAGUUAGUAAUCUAGAGUUGUGAUAAGUUGAUAAGGUUCUGAAAGUUCCAAAGAAAAGACAAAUGUAGAAAAUAUUUACCAAGCCAGUAGGCUGUGUAUAAACAACUCAGGAUAGUUCAGUGUUCCAGCAUAAGCAUUCAUAAUGCAGAUUAUGGAGGGGUCUCAAGGAUCCAUGUAAGGCUAUGCACAGAGGCAGUCACUAGUCUCUUUUGACAGACAUUAUGAUUUAUCUAUACAGAGAAGGAAAUUACAUUGCUGCCUCAUGACUUAAACCUACAUAGACUCUAAACCAAAGAAAUUGCAAUUUAUUUUUAAAUUGGGAAAGAACUUUCUGAAGUGUGACCUUGCAUGAAGAAACUCAGGUGAAAAUUGACUGAUUCACUUUGAUAAAUUAUCUGCAUGUGCAGUAAAAAUUGUCAUGGUUCAAAUAUAAAAUCUACCUUGAAGAGGGCAAGUGAACUUCUGAGUGAAUGCUUUUUGCUUGACAUGGGCAACACCAUGAAGACUGCUCCCUACAGAGCCUGCUCCUACUGAGCUAAGCUAACCGUGACUCCUUGUUCAACUCUGAAUCGUAAGCUCCACUGCCUUGUUCAACUGAAUGGAAAAUUCCUUCUCCCUGCUCAACUGUAGAUAAAAGGCACUGAAGGUUUCUAUGGUGCUUUGCCAUCAGAAAGCCAGUUUUACCAAGUUCCAUCUUGUCUAAGUCUUUGUGCUCAAUGUCCUUUCCUUAUUCUCUUGCAGCCCCUAGUCAGGUCCAAGACCCAAAUCCUGUAAGGAUGUGACAUUGCAUUGGGGUGGGGGGUAUUAAAUGGUUUGCCUCUAGCUCAUGGUCCUAUUUUGUGAGGUUUUAGAAACUUCGGAAGUUAGAACAUGUUUGAAAGAGGUUGGUCAAUGGGGAGUGCCUUUGAAGAUGCUACCUAGUCUCUAGCUCCUUGCUCCAUUGCUUUCUUUACUAUGAGGCAAGCCAUCCCAUAAAUCCAAGCCACCAUGCACUGAUUUUCUGAAACCAUGAGUUAAAAUAUCUCCCUCCCCACCCCAUUAAAUUUGUGCAUUUAAGGUGCUUCAUCACAGUGAUUUAGAAUCGACCAACAAAAUAUCCAAGAAUCUUCUUGACUGGAAAAUGUGAAAUACAAGUGGCUCAGUACACACUGUGGACAUUAUGUUUAUAGGAAUACUCUCCGAUAACAGCAGCACUCUAACCAAUCAAUGAGGAAAACUGAACUCCCGGUUAAAAUAAAGAAAGCGUCAGUUAUUAAAUUAACCUCGAAGAGAAGAAAUACAAACUAAUUCUUUAUUCUUCCAGAUAGCUUGGCUAUUCCUGUGCCAGUGCAGCAUAGCUCCAAGCAAGACCAGAAGGAGGUGGACAAAGGAGGACUUGAAGAGGUAGAUGGAAUCUAAACAUAUUUUAUUAAUAAAAACGGAACAAUCUAAUGACCUGUGAUCUUUUCUCCAAUUUAUUUUGAAAAGAAUGGAGUAAAUUAUUAAGAAACAUGCAUUCACACCAACAAUGGAGGAGUGUUCCUCUUUCUCCACAUCCUUCCCAGCAUCUGCUGACACCUGAGUUUUUGAUCUUAGCCAUUCUGAAUGGUGUGAGAUGGAAUCCCAGGGUUGUUCUGAUUUUAAUUCCCCUGAUGACUAAAGAUGUUGGACAUUUCUUUAGGUGUUUCUCUGUCAUUCAAUAUUCCUCAGUUGAGAAUUCUUUGUUUUGUUCUGUACCCCAAGUUUUAAUAGGGUUAUUUGAUUCUCUAGAGUCUAACUUUUUGAGUUCUUUAUAUAUUUGAUAUUAGCCCUGUAUCUGAUGUAGGAUUAGUAAAGAUCUUUGCCCAAUCUGUCGGUUGUCAUUUUGUCCUACUGACAAUGUCCUUUGCCUUACCGAAGCUUUUUCAAUUUUGUGAGGUCCCAUUUGUCUACUGUUGAUUUUACAGCAUAAGCCACUGAUGCUUUGUUCAGGAAAUUUCCCCUUUGCCCAUGUGUUUGAAGCUCUUCCCCACUUUCUCUUUUAUUAGUUUCAAUGUAUCGGAGGUUCUUGAUCUAUUUGGAAUUGAGCUAUGUACAAGGCAAUAAGAACGUAUCAAUUUCCAUUCUUCUACAUGCUGACCUCCAGUUGAAACAGCACCAUUUGUUGAAAAUACUGUCUUUUUUUCGCUGGAUGAUUUUAAAUCCUUUGUCAAAGAUCAAGUGAUCAUAGGUAUGUGGGUUCAUUUCUGGUUGGUGAGAUUGCAAGCUGAUACAACGACUCUGAAAAUCAGUGUGGUGGUUGCUCAGAAAAUUGGACAUACCUCCACCUGAGGAUGCAGCUAUACCACUCCUCAGAAUAUACUCAAAAGAUGCUCCAACAUAUAACAAAGACAUAUGCUCCAGUAUGUUCAUAGAGGCCUUAUUUGUAACAGCCAGAAGCUCAAACAUAGGAAUAGAUCAAGAAAAUGUGGUACAUGUACACAAAGAAGUACUAUUCAGCUAUUGAAAACAAUGACUUCAUGAAAUUUGCAGGCAAAUUGAUGAAACUAAGAAAUAUCAUCCUGUGUGAGGUAACUCAGUCACAAAAGAACAUACAUGAUAUGCACUCACUGAUAGGUGGAUAUUAGCCACAAAGCUCAGAAUAUCCAAGAUACAGACCAUAUGAAGCUCAAGAAGGAAGACCAAAGCUUGGAUGCUUCAGUCCUUCUUAAAAGGGAGAGCAAUACACUAAUAGGAAAUAUGUGUGGAACAGAGAUGAAGGAAAGGCAGUCCUGAGACUGCCCCACCUGCGGAUCUAUCCAAUAUACACUCACCAAAUCCAGACACUUGCUGAUGCCAAGAAAUGCAUGCUGAUAGGAGCCAGAUAUAGCUGUCUCCUGAGACGCUCUGCCAGAGCAUGACAAAUACAGAGCAGAUUGUUCACAGUCAACCACUGGACUGAGCAAGGGGUCCCCAAUGGAGGGGUUUGAGAAAAGACUGAAGGUGCUCAACUGGUUUGCAACACCACAGGAAGAACAACAAUAUCAAAUAACCAGAGUCCCCUGGGCCUAAACUACCAUCCAAAGAGUAAACAUGGACAGACCUAUGGCUCCAGCUGCAUAUGUAGCAGAGGAUGGCCUUGUUGGCCAACAGUGGGAAGAGAGGUUCUUGGUCCUGUCAAGGCUUGAUCUCCUAGUGUAGGGGAAUGCCAGGGCAGGGAGGCACAAGGGAGUGGGUGAAUGGGUAUGAGAGUACCCUCACAGAAGCAGGGGAAGGGGUAAAGGAGUGAGGGUUUCUGGAGGGGAAGCCAAGAAUGGGGUAUUUUAAAUGUAAAUAAAAAUAUUUUAAAUGUAAAUAAAGAAAAUAUACAAUGAAAACAAAAGAAAAAAGGGGGGGAAAUGAAACAUUCAAUCCAUGCCUGGAAAAGCAUACUUGGAAUCCUAGCACUCAGAACUAGUAAGAUCACAAGUUUUAUCCUAGUAUAGACUACAGUAAGACCUGAAAGGAAAAGAAAAUCGCAAAGAAAGAAGAGAAGGAAUCAGGAGGAAUAGAGAUGAGAUGGAGAGAAAAGGAAGGACAUUUUCCAGGUUACUUUUCAAGCCAGCUGUUUCAAAACAUAAAUUGUGCUAUUGUACAACUAAUAACUCUACAGUUUAUAUGAGAGAGUGGAGCUAUUAUCUUUCCUCUCUCCUUUUUCUGAGUCCCUGAUGACCUUUUUAUUGAUUAGGGCUAACUUUUUUCAGUUGCAGCACUUAGAUAACAUUGUUUGCAUCUGUAAUGGUGACAGGAGCUAAGCUUUGCACUCAGGUACCAUCACUUAAGCCUGGAGCACAGUCAUAUGAGGUGUAACUGUGGGCCCAGUUUGUCGAACUGGCUGUAUGACAGUGCUUUAAUGGGGAGAAAGUUGCGGAAUCAUUCAGUUUUGCCAAAACAUUUGAUACUCUUUAAAUACUUGCUAGUCAUUGUUUUUUGAGGGACACUCUAUUCCACGGGUUAGAUUUUUUUUUUUGGCAAGAACAGUUCAGAUUUAAAAUCAUGAAGUUCACCAACCGAUGUACACUGGGACUUCCUCUGAGAGUGUUUUCCUCUCUGCUCCCAUAGAUCACAGUUUUAUGUGUGUAGACCUGUAGAACAGCUUGGUUCUCCGUGCUCAGAAGGUUGUAGCCUUUUUCAAAUGCUCUACGGCUCUGCCAUUAUUUGGAAAUACAUACAAUUUGAACCAUAGGUCACAUUUUCAUUUUGCUCAGAAUCUUGCUGUACCUCUUCAGCAAGUGCAUUUUGCUUACAUAUUGUCACACUGAAACACAGAGUGCUGUGGUCGUUUUCCAGCAUACUCCUAAUGGAUCCAUUAAGAGCAAAGCCAUUUCGAUCCAAAUAAAUGACGUUAUUUUUUUUUUUACCAGUGAAAUAAGGGGCAGCCUAGAGAAAAAGGUAACCAUGAAUAAGUCCGACUGAGAAAGAUCAUCACAGCACCCAGUGUUUGUUAAACAUCUAGCUUGAUAAUCUGUUUGGCCUCCUUCUCUAUGCUAGAAUAAAUAAAACAUUUCUUUUGCAACUGAAAAGAAAAUCACAAUACGACUCAGUCAAAUAACAAAAGCUUUUAAGACAUUCUUUCAUUGUAUCUUACAUGAUUACAUAGUACUAAGCUUUGCUAUUUAUAAAUGGAAUAUGGAAACAGUAUUUUAAAUUUAACUUACAUUUGAAAGGCCUCUUGCCUCAUUACUGAUUACAGACAGAGUAUAAAAGGCUAACUGAUGAAAAACAAUAAAAGGGCGAGCUUUUAUUCUAUGUACUUGCUUUGCCAUAGUGUAACAGUAUCUCCUACCCCAAAUAAAAGUUUACAAUUAAUCUCAAAUAUCUGUUCCAUAUCCCUGUAUCCUGCAUGUUGCAGUAGCUUUUCUCAGAAUUAGGAGCUGACAAGGCAUAUACACCCAUCUUCUAUUUUUUAAGACUGACUCUUGCAUGAGAGAAUAAAUAGAGGCAGGGGAAUGUUAGCCUCUGAUGGUUAAAAAUUGAAGGGAAGAAGGAUUUCUAAUCACGUACAUUUGUAUUUCAUAGGAGCCUUGACAGAGUUUGUUAUCAACUGGUGAUGCUCUGUAUCUUUGUUACUCGUGGGUUUAUUUAUACUUUUGAAAUUUCUAUUUCUCCCUUUAAUGUUUUCUGUCAUAACUAGUUGGCUUGAAUCAGGUACGUGACCUGUGCAUUACUUUUCUUUAUUUGUAAGUCUCUGUAAAUGACAUUUUAUGUUAUCACAUUUUUAUUUACUGAUCAGAGUUAGGAUCAAGGGUUGUACCCAGAAGACUAUAAUGUUUUCAGAAUGCUUAGUAGCCUAUCAAGUAUGAAACCAAGUAUGUGGAUCUUCCUUGAAAUUUCUGAUAAGUCUCCAAUUUCUUCCUUGAAUUAAUCCUCAAUUCUUGCAAGAUGCGUGCUGACUGUUUCAUAUUUAUUGCACAGUGGCUGAUAUAGAUGAAGAUGAUAUUGUUUGUAUAUUAAAAUAUAUCAAGCUAUUUGGAAAACUUAAUUGCUACAAAAUUCUGUGUAUCUUAUUUAUGAUUGUAGGUUUUAAGACGGCAGCAUCACAUUGGGGUUUCAGAAAGGACACAUCUGGGAGUAAGUGUUUAAAGUCUCAAUUAGAGUAUAUGCUACAUAACUUGAUUCCUCAUUCAUAUAGGAAAGGAAUGUCACCUAGAGCCACCUAUGUACUUAUGAAGCUGCUCCUUGACUGGCCUCCUGUCAGCAGCAUCUAGAAGACACAUUAGAGGAGAAGAAGUCCUGAGUGAAUGUGUCCAAGAGUGGCAGAUGGAAUUAUGAGAUACCUGGUUCUGUCUGACCUCAUGCAGAGAGUGGAAUGAUAGGUCUGCACCAUGGAGCUCAAUGCAAUCAAGUAAAGGAAAUAGAAGUUGAACU